CUAGUAACGGCGAGUGAAGCGGCAACAGCUCAAAUUUGAAAUCUGGCUUCGGCCCGAGUUGUAAUUUGCAGAGGAAGCUUUAGGCGCGGCACCUUCUGAGUCCCCUGGAACGGGGCGCCAUAGAGGGUGAGAGCCCCGUAUAGUUGGAUGCCUAGCCUGUGUAAAGCUCCUUCGACGAGUCGAGUAGUUUGGGAAUGCUGCUCAAAAUGGGAGGUAAAUUUCUUCUAAAGCUAAAUACCGGCCAGAGACCGAUAGCGCACAAGUAGAGUGAUCGAAAGAUGAAAAGCACUUUGAAAAGAGGGUUAAAUAGCACGUGAAAUUGUUGAAAGGGAAGCGCUUGUGACCAGACUUGCGCCGGGCGGAUCAUCCGGUGUUCUCACCGGUGCACUCCGCCCGGCUCAGGCCAGCAUCGGUUCUCGCGGGGGGAUAAAGGUCCUGGGA
rnacentral:rRNA from 1 species